rnacentral:rRNA from 1 species
UGGGGAAUAUUGGACAAUGGGCGAAAGCCUGAUCCAGCCAUGCCGCGUGUGUGAAGAAGGUCUUCGGAUUGUAAAGCACUUUAAGUUGGGAGGAAGGGCAGUAAGCGAAUACCUUGCUGUUUUGACGUUACCGACAGAAUAAGCACCGGCUAACUCUGUGCCAGCAUCCGUGGUAAUACAGAGGGUGCAAGCGUUAAUCGGAAUUACUGGGCGUAAAGCGCGCGUAGGUGGUUCGUUAAGUUGAAUGUGAAAGCCCCGGGCUCAACCUGGGAACUGCAUCCAAAACUGGCGAGCUAGAGUAGGGCAGAGGGUGGUGGAAUGUCCUGUGUAGCGGUGAAAUGCGUAGAUAUAGGAAGGAACACCAGUGGCGAAGGCGACCACCUGGGCUCAUACUGACACUGAGGUGCGAAAGCGUGGGGAGCAAACAGG